CCUACGGGGGGCAGCAGUGGGGGAUAUUGGACAAUGGGGGAAACCCUGAUCCAGCGACGCCGCGUGGGUGAAGAAGUGUCUCGGUAUGUAAAGCUCUAUCAGCAGGGAAGAAGAAAUGACGAUACCUGGAUAAGAAGCCCCGGCUAACUACGUGACAGCCGCCGCGGUAAUACGUAGGGGGCAAGCGUUAUCCGGAAUUACUGGGUGUAAAGGGAGCGUAGACGGUGAUGUAAGGCUGGAGUGAAAGGCGGGGGCCCAACCCCCGGACUGCUCUGGAAACUAUGUGACUGGAGUGCAGGAGAGGUGAGCGGAAUUCCUAGUGUAGCGGUGAAAUGCGUAGAUAUUAGGAGGAACACCAGGGGCGAAGGCGGCUUACUGGACUGUAACUGACGUUGAGGCUCGAAAGCGUGGGGAGCAAACAGGAUUAGAUACCCGUGUAGUC
rnacentral:rRNA from 1 species